rnacentral:misc_RNA from 1 species
UUUCCGUAGGUGAACCUGCGGAAGGAUCAUUAAUGAAUCAUAAAGGACGAUUCUUUUUAGAAGCGUCCGUUUUUAUGUUCAUCCUUCACACUGUGCACAUUACAUUUUUUACACCUUUUUUAACACAAGUAGUUCAUGAAUGUUCAAAGUCUCGUUAAUUCGAGCAUAAAAAGUUAAUACAACUUUCGGCAACGGAUCUCUUGGUUCCCGCAUCGAUGAAGAACGCAGC